rnacentral:rRNA from 1 species
ACGGGUGAGUAAUGCCUAGGAAUCUGCCUGGUAGUGGGGGAUAACGUUCGGAAACGGACGCUAAUACCGCAUACGUCCUACGGGAGAAAGCAGGGGACCUUAUGGCCUUGCGCUAUCAGAUGAGCCUAGGUCGGAUUAGCUAGUUGGUGAGGUAAUGGCUCACCAAGGCGACGAUCCGUAACUGGUCUGAGAGGAUGAUCAGUCACACUGGAACUGAGACACGGUCCAGACUCCUACGGGAGGCAGCAGUGGGGAAUAUUGGACAAUGGGCGAAAGCCUGAUCCAGCCAUGCCGCGCGUGUGAAGAAGGUCUUCGGAUUGUAAAGCACUUUAAGUUGGGAGGAAGGGCAGUUACCUAAUACGUGAUUGUUUUGACGUUACCGACAGAAUAAGCACCGGCUAACUCUGUGCCAGCAGCCGCGGUAAUACAGAGGGUGCAAGCGUUAAUCGGAAUUACUGGGCGUAAAGCGCGCGUAGGUGGUUUGUUAAGUUGGAUGUGAAAUCCCCGGGCUCAACCUGGGAACUGCAUUCAAAACUGACUGACUAGAGUAUGGUAGAGGGUGGUGGAAUUUCCUGUGUAGCGGUG